rnacentral:rRNA from 1 species
UUUUGGACAAUGGGCGCAAGCCUGAUCCAGCAAUGCCGCGUGAGUGAAGAAGGCCUUCGGGUUGUAAAGCUCUUUUGUCAGGGAAGAAACGGUGAGCUCUAAUACAGUUUGCUAAUGACGGUACCUGAAGAAUAAGCACCGGCUAACUACGUGCCAGCAGCCGCGGUAAUACGUAGGGUGCAAGCGUUAAUCGGAAUUACUGGGCGUAAAGCGUGCGCAGGCGGUUAUGUAAGUCAGAUGUGAAAUCCCCGGGCUCAACCUGGGAAUGGCAUUUGAGACUGCAUGGCUAGAGUGUGUCAGAGGGGGGUAGAAUUCCACGUGUAGCAGUGAAAUGCGUAGAGAUGUGGAGGAAUACCGAUGGCGAAGGCAGCCCCCUGGGAUAACACUGACGCUCAUGCACGAAA